AAUUUAAAUUUCGCGCCAACUUUCCCGACCAAGAUGAAUAUGGCGUCUCCCAGGAAGUAUGGCCUCAUUCUGCCGAAAAGUAAGCAGUCGGGAAGUAUUGCGGCUCUGCAGAAGGCUGCUCCUUCAAAUGUGUUUGGAGACGAGAGCGACGAUGAACAUGACAAGCGCACAAUUGAAGAUACGAUCAAAAAAGCAUCGGUCAAAAGUCUCGCCAAAGUUCAGACCCAAAUGAUGAUGAAAAGGGCACUCGACGAAGACGCAAACGUGUUUGAAUAUGACGAAGUUUAUGAUGAGAUGAAAAGUAAGAAAGAAGCCGAGGACAUUGCUAAUAAAGCUGUAAUAAAAGACAGAAAGCCACGUUACAUUGAGAGUCUAAUAAGAAAUGCAGAAGCACGUAAAAAGGAGGAGGAGCGCCGGGCGCAACGAAAAAUACAAAAAGAGCGCGAAGACGAAAAAGAGGAUUUUGGUGAUAAGGAAGCUUUUGUUACCGCAGCGUACAAAAAGAAGAUAGAGCAAAUGCAACAAGAGGAGGAAGAAGCUAAACGAAAGGAGCAGUUAGAAGAAAUGAUGGAUGUGACGAAACAGAAAGACCUGUCAGGCUUCUAUCGCCAUCUUCUAAAGCAGCAAUGUGGCGAGGAGAAAAUUCCAGAUAGAUCUACCAGUGAAACAAGCUUAAUAAAAGACACGAAAAACACCAGUCUGAAACAGUCGUUUGGCGAGCACAGUACAGAACACGGCACAUCUUCUCAGACUAACAUUGCUAGAGUAACUGAACCAGCCUUGAAGACCAGAGGACAGAGCAACGACGACGACCAUGACAACAAUAACAACAACCCUGAUGCCGAUUCAGAAUUCUUCGAAACUAGCAGCGGCGAAGACGAUGCACAGCGAAAGAGCGACGUACAGACAAUAACAGUUUCAUGUACCAAAAUGAGAAAUAAAAGUAGAACGUACCGUAAACGAAAACAUACCAGCGAGUUAAAGAAGGAGAGAGAAAAUACAGCGAAGCAAAAUGAUUCCGACGAUACUGAUGACGACAACAAAAGCUCCAGUCAGUCAGAUUCAGAUCGGAACGAUGACAACGUCAAGAGGCAAACGGUUGCAAAAAAACCCAUAAGACACUUGCAAAAGGACAUUCAUUCCGGCGUACAGGUUAGCGAGCCUCAAUGCAGAAAUCGAGCCCCAAAGGACUGGCGAGAAAUGUUUGAAAAACGAUGCGUGGGAGACAAAUUUGAAGCAGCAAAACAGCGCUAUCUCGCAAGGAAAGCUGCUUGCCAAGGAGCUACUAUACAAUAAAUAGAGCGCACCUUCCGCAUUACCAAAUCACAGAACAUUAGUAGUCGUCACUAAAAGUGAUUAAGUUGAGUUUUAGCGCUUCACUGAGCUCGAUGUGAGCGCCAUCUAUCAGAAGCUUCAUCACAGAGAUCAAAAUUCAUCGAACUAUUUCUUUUGGUCCCUGGCGGAAAGUAAGAAGAAGGCGGUUCUCACCAUGCGUCCAACAUUUUUAAAAAGAAUAACUAAAUUAGAAUAUUUUCGCCGUUCGACCUAUUCUAAAAUAUGGCUCUCAUUCAAGUGUGGACGUAUACCUAGAGGUAAAGCAGUUUCGC